CAGCCUUUGAUGCGUCGGACGAGAACCUGGAUGCUCCGUCAGCUGACAGCAAACCUGCCGAUCAGCUGAUCAAUCAGGAGAACAGCAGAGACGGACUGAUCUCCUGGAGAACGUUUCAUCAGUACUGUAAGGCUGCUGGAGGAUACUGUGUGUGCCUCCUCAUCCUCCUCCUCUUCAUCGUGCUGAUGACAAAUGCAGCUCUGAGUUACUGGUGGCUCAGUUACUGGUUACAUCAGGGACACGGGG